rnacentral:rRNA from 1 species
AGCGAACGCUGGCGGCAGGCUUAACACAUGCAAGUCGAGCGGGCCUUUCGGGGUCAGCGGCGGACGGGUGAGUAACGCGUGGGAACGUGCCCUCUGGUUCGGAAUAACUCAGGGAAACUUGAGCUAAUACCGGAUACGCCCUUUUGGGGAAAGGCUUGCUGCCGGAGGAUCGGCCCGCGUCUGAUUAGCUAGUUGGUGAGGGAACGGUUAACCAAGGCGACGAUCAGUAGCUGGUCUGAGAGGAUGAUCAGCCACACUGGGACUGAGACACGGCCCAGACUCCUACGGGAGGCAGCAGUGGGGAAUAUUGUACAAUGGGCGCAAGCCUGAUCCAGCCAUGCCGCGUGAGUGAUGAAGGCCUUAGGGUUGUAAAGCUCUUUUAUCCGGGACGAUAAUGACGGUACCGGAGGAAUAAGCCCCGGCUAACUUCGUG